rnacentral:rRNA from 1 species
GUGUCGUGAGAUGUUGGGUUAAGUCCCGUAACGAGCGCAGCCCUUGUCCUUAGUUACCAGCACGUUAUGGUGGGCACUCUAAGGAGACUGCCGGUGACAAACCGGAGGAAGGUGGGGAUGACGUCAAGUCAUCAUGGCCCUUACGGCCUGGGCUACACACGUGCUACAAUGGUCGGUACAAAGGGUUGCCAAGCCGCGAGGUGGAGCUAAUCCCAUAAAACCGAUCGUAGUCCGGAUCGCAGUCUGCAACUCGACUGCGUGAAGUCGGAAUCGCUAGUAAUCGUGAAUCAGAAUGUCACGGUGAAUACGUUCCCGGGCCUU